UUCACGGAUUGCCCCCAAUUCCUUCUUCUUCCCCCAAAAUUCAAUCAAACCCUAAUUACGCUAGAAAUCUUCAAAUUCUGGACAACGGCUCAAAUUCGAUCGAGCUUCGUUCUGAAAUUGAGAGUGUUGGCCGUGAGGAUCGUCGAGGAGAGCAUCGGCCAUUUACUUCGCCGAAAUCGAUAUCGUCGAGGAGAGCAUCGGUGAGUCAGCAGCGUCGAGAUCGUCGAGGAGAGCAUCGGCCUCGAAAAGGGUGACGAAAUCCAAACCAGAUUACCAUCUUUUGGAGACUAUUAAUCACAACAGCCCUCUAUUCAGGCGAAUCAUCUGGUGAUAAUGAGACUUCAAACGGGCCCAGCUCUCUCUCCGUCAGUCCGGUGGCGAUGCAACGGAUAUGAUAGGGAGCCCCAUUGUCAGCUGUAAUUGUAAAACGAGUUCAUUGCGAAAACAAAUAGAUAGACACAGCUAGAUAUGGGAGGUGAAGGAAGUCAAUGGAGUAGGAUAAAGCAAUAUGUCCAAAAGUCCACAGCUUCUUCACGAGUUGAGGAAUCAGUCAAUCUAUGUGGGUGUGGAAGGAAGCUCCUGUUGCAAAUAUCUACCAGGAAACAAAGUUAUGGUAGGCAUUUCCUUGGUUGUCCUUUAUGGAAGAGAAGUGAUCUUACUUGUGGAUACUUUGAAUGGGUGGAUAAUGAGGAGCGACUUGAAGCGCAGCAGACUGUAGGACCCCGGAUUGGAGCUUCUUUUACAUCCCCGAAGAAACAAGGUUUAAAUGGAGAAGAUAAGAAGCUCAUGAAAAAGAUGAAGAAGAAAAUUCAAAUGUAUGAACAUGAGAACAAAAUGCUGAAGAUUGCAUGUUGUAUAUUGAUUUUUGUCCUUGUUUUAACCUUAGUUUGUGUUUGUCCGAGGAUAUUGUAACGUG